GACGAAGGGGGCUAGCGUUGUUCGGAAUUACUGGGCGUAAAGCGAGUGUAGGCGGUUGUUCAAGUCAGGUGUGAAAGCCUUGAGCUCAACUCAAGAAAUGCACUUGAUACUGGAUGACUAGAGGACCGGAGAGGAUAGUGGAAUUCCCAGUGUAGUGGUGAAAUACGUAGAGAUUGGGAAGAACACCAGUGGCGAAGGCGGCUAUCUGGACGGUUUCUGACACUAAGACUCGAAAGCGUGGGGAGCAAACAGG
rnacentral:rRNA from 1 species